UACGUAGGGGGCUAGCGUUGUCCGGAAUCAUUGGGCGUAAAGAGCGUGUAGGCGGCCCGGUAAGUCCGCUGUAAAAGUCAAAGGCUCAACCUUUGAAUGUCAGUGGAUACUGCCGGGCUAGAGUCCGGAAGAGGCGAGUGGAACUCCUGGUGUAGCGGUGGAAUGCGCAGAUAUCAGGAAGAACACCAAUUGCGAAGGCAGCUCGCUGGGACGUUACUGACGCUGAGACGCGAAAGCGUGGGGAGCAAACAGG
rnacentral:rRNA from 1 species